rnacentral:rRNA from 1 species
AAAGCACCUUUUAGGUGUGUAUAAAGUGGCGAACGGCUGAGUAACACGUGGGCAACCUGCCCUCCUCUUGGGGAUAGCCUCGGGAAACCGAGGAUAAUACCCGAUACUUCAAUGUGGCCGCAUGACGACAUUGAGAAAGCUUUUGCGGAGAAGGAUGGGCCCGCGGCCUGUUAGCUUGUUGGUGGGGUAGAGGCCUACCAAGGCAAUGAUGGGUAGCUGGGUUGAGAGACCGACCAGCCAGAUUGGGACUGAGACACGGCCCAGACUCCUACGGGAGGCAGCAGUGGGGAAUCUUGCACAAUGGGCGAAAGCCUGAUGCAGCGACGCCGCGUGCGGGACGAAGGCCUUCGGGUUGUAAACCGCUUUCAGCAGGGACGAGGCGAAAGUGACGGUACCUGCAGAAGAAGCCCCGGCUAACUACGUGCCAGCAGCCGCGGUAAUACGUAGGGGGCAAGCGUUAUCCGGAUUCAUUGGGCGUAAAGCGCUCGUAGGCGGUCUGUUAGGUCGGGAGUUAAAUCCGGAGGCUCAACCUCCGCCCGCUCCCGAUACCGGCAGACUUGAGUUUGGUAGGGGAAGGUGGAAUUCCUAGUGUAGCGGUGGAAUACGCAGAUAUUAGGAAGAACACCAGUGGCGAAGGCGGC